rnacentral:lncRNA from 1 species
CUGAGCUCAUCGCCUCCGGAAAUCUACUUAAAACCCUUGUUGUUUGUUUGGCCCCUGAGAACUUUUUGUUCUGAGGCUUGCACUGCAACGUACAAAGGGCAAAGGAAAUCUAAGAAGCCAUAAAUCCUGUCAAAUCCCUGUUCACCAUCCAUCUUUUUUGUGUGUGUUUAGUGGAGGGCUGGCUGAAACGAUGACCGCUUCUAUGUGCCUUUUCCACUUGUAUUAAAAACUAUAUUAUUUUCAAUGUUAACUGCUGAUUUAAGCGCAGAUUAUCAUGAAACGCCAGUGUGGAGGAAUGUUCCUGUUAAGACCCCUGGAUGUAGUUAAUGUGUAUGGUGUGUGUGUGUGUGUGUGUGUGAGGGAGUCUAACCUGUCCACCCGUGCAUCUGUUGUGUAUAAUAGAUGAGCUCCGUAUCACCAUGUCAUUCUAACCCUGCAUGAGAAAGAAAGAGGGAUAGAGGGAUACAGAGAAAGGAAAAACACAUGAAUAAUUGAGCCCAAAUCAGUUUAGUGACCGUCCGUCCCUUCCUACUCUCAGUCUAAUGAAGUCAGUGCCUGCAACUGGAUUCUCCGAGAAACUUCUGGAUCGGGGAGACGAAAGGAACGCGGGCGUCUGAGGGAAGCCGAUGACAGCCGUGUAAUUCGUGGUCCGAGAGCUUUGCCUUUUGAUCCGCUCUGCCACUUUACUUUUUGGAGUAAAGAGGCUGUUGGACUCAGGAUCAUCAUGAUACCAUGGUGGCCCAACUGCUAGGGCUGGCCUUUCUGUUUCUACCAACCAGUCUGGUCACCUCUACCACACAUGCGGUUGAGAUCAAUCCCAACUGGGAGGUGGUUUACCGGGACACCCGUGUGUACGGGGUGGUGGGCAAAGCGGUGAUCCUUGAGUGCGGUCCCACCAUACCUGACAUGUACAUAUGGAGCUUCACCAAGCCCGGCACUGAGGCUAUAAAAGCUGUGGUGUACAAUUUGGGGAAAGGAACGAGGAUCCAGAAGCUGGCCGAGACGCUCGGACAGCUGACGGUCAUCUCAAACAGUGCAUCUGUAAGCAUCGAGAAACUGCCUCUGGCUGCACACGGCCUGUUUACCUGCCAGGCCUUCUAUGACAUAGACAAAGAUCCCAAAGUGUACUACUACUACGUGCACCUCACUGUCCGAGUUCCCGUCACUAAGCCUUACCUCCUCAUGAGCGAUGCAUCUCCGGUGGAAGGAUCUACGAUGUGGAUGCGCUGCAACUUGGAUAAUGGGACUGGGCCAAUCCAGUAUGUGUGGAAACAUGAAACCCGUAACGGCACCAUCUCAGUAGUUGCACAGGGCACCAGCAGCAUUAUCAAUGUGACUGAUGUUAACCGCAACCACACCGGCUGGUACCGCUGUGUGGCCAGCAACGCCGUCAACAGCGAGAGCUCUAACCGGCUAUGGCUAGACACUAUCUUUGGCCCGGACAUUCCUCAGAUAGACGUGACUCCGUUCAGUAUAACAGAGCGAGGAUAUUCAGCCCUGGAGAGAGAGACUGUUUCUUUACUGUGUCAAGCCCAGUCCAACCCGGCAAGUCAGUACGUCUGGUUCUACAACAACUCCCAGGUCUACACGGGGCCGCAGUUCACCAUCACCAAGAUCCUCCGCAUGCACACUGGCGACUAUGCCUGCUUGGCGCAGAACACCUACCUCAACACCCGCUCCAAAAAAACCAUCAGCCUGACUGUCUACUGUGAGUCUGACCUCUGACCUCGGACCAUCCCAUCAGUCCCCCUGCUCCUCUGUGAACCUCUCCACUCAGUGCAACGUGUUCUUCUAUCUUGUUGCUGCAAAUGAUUGUUAAAGACUGAGAUGUGAUUAAAUCACCCAGAUUUUACAUUCAUAGCACAAGACUAAAAGAACUCAAAUCAGGGUCUGAAUCCCCUCUGAUUUCCAUCUUUAUCAGGCCUCAACGUCCUUCUUAGAUACAACUCCGUCACUGUUUCACUUCCAGCUAAACCUCUCCUGUUUUCAAUGUUACACACAAACCUUCUUCACUUCUUCUCCCUCCAUUCACCACAUCACCUUUCACUUUUCAAGCUCUUUAUUAUGAAUACACUUACACGCCAACACACCACGGCAGAGUGUGGAAGUGCUGCGACCCGUUUCUCCCGUUCAGGAACGUCAGGGAAGUUGACGGGACACUCUGGCAGGUACCUCGCUGUGAUGUCACAGCCAUGGCAAGUGUUGGUUGGCUGGAAGCCCGGGUGCUUGUCAUUCUGCUCCUCUGUUUGGUUUUGCUUUUAGAGUUCAUCAUGAUACCAUAUUAUAUCGAUUCUGUGGACAACGAUACGAUAUUUGAUGAUCAAAAUCGAUGAUACUAUAUAUAUCAUAUGUCGUUUGAACACAGUAACAGAAGCUGCCACCACUUUCUUUUCUAUUUUUGUUCAUAAAUUAACAAAACACAUAAAUAUGGUUGACCGGUUAUGUCCAGUAACAACAGUUUUUUUUUUUGGCCUCAAGUGACGCUGAGCAGCGGUCAUAGAAAUUAAAUGGCUUGGACUGGUGAUUUAGACAUGCCAUGGGAAUGUGAAAAUAAAGGCGAAUGAUAGAAUCGAUGUUUUCCCUUUCGCGAAUUUGCAUCGAUUAUAUUGGAUUGUUGAUCACUGAAUCGAUAUAUAUCAAUCCAGAUCAUUGGAUCGUGACACCCCUACCGUACAUCCUGAAUACUGUAGCCCCACAGGCACUUUCCCUGGCCCUGAUGACCUCAUGUAACCCCCACUUUGCACAUCCCUGCCUCGUUACGCUGUAUCCUAUCCCCACAGACCCACCUGAUGGUUCCCCCUCCUGUUCUGUGGAGCCGGCUCUGAAUCACACCUCUCUGAAACUGCUCUGCUCCUGGACCGGUGGAUUCCCCUCCCCCUCCCUCCACUGGACCGGAGACCUGAAAACAUUGGGACACACGGAGGCUGACACAGGGACGCAGACAAAUCAACUAACCAACACUACUGUCUUGCUGUCGACUGAAGGCAUGGCCUCCAACGACAGCUCGUUUUCAUGCAUGGGCUCACACCUGGCACUGACACAAUCAAGAGUGUGCAGCACGCGAACAUGUAAGGGAAAACAAACUGUUUUCUUAACAGCUCUUCAAACCUCUCAAGUUUCACUUAAACCUCUUCUCUUCCACCAGAUAUCCCCCCUGCCGAACCAGUGUGUUUAGCCUAUGUGACUAACAACAAACAGUAUCUGAUGCUGUCCUGCUCCUGGGAUGGAGGAUCUCCAAACGCCUUGGUGUGGUGGGAGGGCCCGGGUGACCAGGGCAAAGUUGGGAAAGAAAGCUCCAACGUCCUAGUCCUUCGUUACGGCACCGCCCGCGGUGGGAAACCCUACACCUGCCACGCUAAGCAUCCCCUUCUGAUCCAAACCAAAACCUGCAGGCUCACUCUGGGUCAGUAUCAGACACACCUUACAACAAGGAGCAGG